rnacentral:misc_RNA from 1 species
GAUGAAGAACGCAGCGAAAUGCGAUACGUAAUGUGAAUUGCAGAUUUCAGUGAAUCAUCGAAUCUUUGAACGCACAUUGCGCCCGCUAGUAUUCUGGCGGGCAUGCCUGUUCGAGCGUCAUUUCAACCAUCAAGCCCCCGGCUUGCGUUGGAGCCCUGCGGCUGCCGCAGGCUCCCAAAUCUAGUGGCGGGCUCGUCGUCGUACCGAGUGCAGUAAACAUCCUCGCUCAGGGAACGCGUCGGGUUCUUGUCGUGAAACCCCCCCAUAUCAAGGUUGACCUCGGAUCAGGUAGGAAUACCCGCUGAACUUAAGCAUAUCAAUAAGCGGAGGA